rnacentral:rRNA from 1 species
GAACCGUCCAAACGUUAUUCGGUAUCACUGGGCUUAAAGCGUGCGUAGGCGGCUUGGUAGGUGAGAUGUGAAAGCCCACGGCUCAACCGUGGAAUUGCGUUUCAAACCCCCAAGCUCGAGGAAGAUAGGGGUGAUGGGAACUUAUGGUGGAGCGGUGAAAUGCGUUGAUAUCAUAGGGAACACCGGUGGCGAAAGCGCAUCACUGGAUCUUUUCUGACGCUGAGGCACGAAAGCUAGGGUAGCGAACGGGGGAUUAGAUACCCCGGUAGUCCUAGCCGUAAACGAUGAACACUGGGUAGGGGGACUUCCACAUCCUCCCGGCCGUAGCCGAAAGCGUUAAGUGUUCCGCCUGGGGAGUAUGGUCGCAAGGCUG